GCUUGCAGUCUGUCCUAUCAGUGUGUCAUUCGGUGACCAGCCAGAGAUCCGUUCAGAGGUCAGAUACAACUUGGGGCUGUCACUGUCUCACUUCAGCUGUUGUGACUGUCCAUACCUUUACUUUCUCUUUCUUUGAGCAAGUAAGACUAAAGAUGUUUUUCUCUAUGCUUAGCUGUCCCUGUGGUAAGUCCAACCUAUUUUCAGUAAAGCUGUGAAAAAUGGAAAAUCUAUCCAGUGUGAUCCCUUCUUCCAACGGCCUACAUCCCUGCAGUUUUCUGCCUGUUUUUAGUAACCCAGUGCCUUCAGGUUUGUCAAAGAUCAAGAGUUUCUGCACAGCAAAAGAAACUACCAUGAGAGUGAACAGGCAACCUACAGAAUGGGAGAAAAUUUUCGCAACCUACUCAUCUGACAAAGGGCUAAUAUCCAGAAUCUACAAUGAACUCAAACAAAUUUACAAGAAAAAAACAACCCCAUCAAAAAGUGGGUGAAGGAUAUAAACAGACACUUCUCGAAAGAAGACAUUUAUGCAGCCAACAGACACAUGAAAAAAUGCUCAUCACUGGCCAUCAGAGAAAUGCAAAUCAAAACCACAAUGAGAUACCAUCUCACACCACUUAGAAUGGCAAUCAUUAAAAAGUCAGGAAACAACAGGUGCUGGGGAGGAUGUAGAGAAAUAGGAACACUUUCACACUGUUGGUGGGACUGUAAACUAGUUCAACCAUUGUGGAAGACAGUGUGGUGAUUCCUCAGGGAUCUAGAACUAGAAAUGCCAUUUGACACAGCCAUCCCAUUACUGGGUAUAUACCCAAAGGAUUAUAAAUCAUGCUGCUUUAAAGACACAUGCACACGUAUGUUUAUUGCAGCAC
rnacentral:lncRNA from 1 species